rnacentral:rRNA from 1 species
UACAGAGGGGGCUAGCGUUAUUCGGAAUUAUUGGGCGUAAAGCGCGUGUAGGCGGCUUUGCAAGUCGGGUGUGAAAGCCCUCGGCUCAACCGAGGAAGUGCGCCCGAAACUGCAGAGCUUGAGUACCGGAGAGGGUGGCGGAAUUCCCCAAGUAGAGGUGAAAUUCGUAGAUAUGGGGAGGAACACUCGUGGCGAAGGCGGCCAGCUAGACCAGUUCUGACACUGAGGCGCGAUAGCGUGGGAGCAAACAGG